GACGAACGCUGGCGGCGUGCUUAACACAUGCAAGUCGAACGGAGUGGCGAACGGGUGAGUAACACGUGGGUGACCUGCCCUGCACUUCGGGAUAAACCUGGGGAACUGGGUCUAAUACCGGAGAGUGUUGGAUGGGCGCGCGGCCUAUGAGCUUGUUGGUGGGGUAAUGGCCUACCAAGGCGGCGACUGGUAGCCGGCCUGAGAGGGUGGACGGCCACCAUGGGCCUUCGACACGGCCCAGACUGGUACGGGAGGCAGCGGUGUGGAAUCUUGCACAAUGGGCGGAAGCCUGAUUCAGCGACGCCGGGUGGGUGAUGACGGCUUUCGGGUUGUAAACUCCUUUCACCAUCGACGCGGUAGCUGGAGAAGAAGCACCGGCUAACUACGUGCCAGCCGCCGCGGUAAUAC
rnacentral:rRNA from 1 species